rnacentral:rRNA from 1 species
AGGACGAACGCUGGCGGCGUGCGUUAAACAUGCAAGUCGAACGGUCACAUUUCGGUGUGGCAGUGGCGGACGGCUGAGUAGCACGUGGCUGACCUGCCUCUGGGUGGGGAUAGCGAGCCGAAAGGCUCGGUAAUCCCGCAUGAUGUCUCCUUGGUAGAGUGGGGAGAAGAAAGCGGAAACGCGCCGAGAGAGGGGCCGCGGCCCAUCAGCUAGUUGGUGUAGUUAAGGUGCACCAAGGCGAUGACGGGUGGCCGGCUGAGAGGCCGGACGGCCAGACGGGGACUGGGAACGGCCCGACGCCGUACGGGCGGCAGCAGUUAGGGAUCGUGCGCAAGUGGGCGAAAGCCUGACGCAGCGACGCCGCGUGGGGAAGACGGCCUCGGUGUAACCUCUUUCCGCUGACGAGGAUGGACGGUAGGUAGGGAAGAAGCGACCGG